GUCCAGGAUAGCUCAACUGGUAGAGUACGAGACUCUGAAUCUCAGGGCUGUGGGUUCGAACCCCACGUUGGGCA